GUAGUUCCUGGAAGGGGGAAUACCACUAUCAAGAAGGUGGUUUCUCCAGAAUGAGGAUCUUCCAUUCCAAUUCAGUUGGGUUGACCCCUGUAAUUUCCCCAAAUGUGGGAAAUUUAUAUAUUUUGACAGCAGGAGACUGUUCACACUGUUCUCCCC